UACGUAGGGUGCAAGCGUUAAUCGGAAUUACUGGGCGUAAAGCGUGCGCAGGCGGUUCUGUAAGACCGUUGUGAAAUCCCCGGGCUCAACCUGGGAACUGCAUCUGUGACUGCAUAGCUAGAGUACGGUAGAGGGGGAUGGAAUUCCGCGUGUAGCAGUGAAAUGCGUAGAUAUGCGGAGGAACACCGAUGGCGAAGGCAAUCCCCUGGACCUGUACUGACGCUCAUGCACGAAAGCGUGGGGAGCAAACAGG
rnacentral:rRNA from 1 species